UGGGGAAUAUUGCACAAUGGGCGCAAGCCUGAUGCAGCCAUGCCGCGUGUAUGAAGAAGGCCUUCGGGUUGUAAAGUACUUUCAGCGAGGAGGAAGGCAUUAAGGUUAAUAACCUUGGUGAUUGACGUUACUCGCAGAAGAAGCACCGGCUAACUCCGUGCCAGCAGCCGCGGUAAUACGGAGGGUGCAAGCGUUAAUCGGAAUUACUGGGCGUAAAGCGCACGCAGGCGGUCUGUUAAGUCAGAUGUGAAAAUCCCCGGCUAAGCC
rnacentral:rRNA from 1 species